GGACAAUGUUUCAUCAAGAAGUAUCAAGAUCUUCAAAUACGUUCGAAGAGCUUGCUCAUACUCUCCGCAUUCUAGAUGACGCGACGCCAUUUUAAAUAACAUAUCUGUAUCCUGCAACGCCUUCAGACCCUUCAAUAGGUUCGUUCAUUCGUCUAGAAAUUCAUCAUCUUUUGCAAAUCACGUUCGUCUCUUGUUCGUUUGCCAAUAUUAUUUUAUAUAUAUAUAUAUAUAUAUAUAUAUAUAUAUAUAUAUAUAUAUAUAUAAAAUUAAAAACAAGUUGUUCUUGACCGAUUCAAUAAUUGUAAUAAGAUAAAGAUUCGAUAAAUUAUCAUCGUAUGUUGAUAUAUGUAAUUUUAAAGAAAUUCUAAAUUUGUAUCUUGUGUAACGAGCGAUGAUCCAUGUAAAAAAUAUCUUUAUCUUAAAUAAUAAUAAUAAUAAUAAUUAUUAUUAAUUCAUUAUAUAUUAUGGAAUUUAUAAUUGUAUGUAAUAUGUAUAAUAUGAAAAUCAUUUGUGUAGAUACUUUAUAACGUAUACGUAAUUUUAAAUCUGUAAUGAUUCUUCUGAUGACUGCAACAGUUGAUGAUAAUCACGUAUAUUACAUAUUCAUGUAAUAUGAAUUUUUGUGAAGUAAUAAGUAAAAUUUGAAUAAUUCUAUUUUUGAUUAAAUCGAUAGUCAUAUUUAAAAAGAUCUCAGUUAUGUCGAUCAUUUAAUUUGCCUGAAAUUCUUCAAAUUUCUUAGAAUUUGUGAAUAAUUUCCUCUUGUAAAUAUUGUAAUUUCAAAUUGUUGAAAAAAAGAAAAAAAUAUAAACUCGUUUAAGUAGAUUUUCAUUAGAUAUAAAAUAUGAACACGUUUAUGUAGAUUUUUAAUUGAGCGUAUAAUUUUGAUAAGCGCUCUGAUUUGAAAUUUUAAUUUGGAAUUAAUUUUUUUUUUUUUGUUUUUUUUUUUCCUGUUACAUAUACCUUACUUUUUUUUUUAUAUAAGUGUCAU